UUUGGGAACAAGCCAGGUCGUCAGGUUCCAGCCUAUCCCCCGAACGAACAACUCCACUGCUCCUCUGGUCCUUCCUCCGUGAUGCGCCGCCAUCCUUCCUCCGCGUUGCGCCGCUGCUGCCGGCGAUCUUCUGCUGCGCGUAUGCAUCCACCGUUCCUCCUUGGCGGCUGUGGCGGCCGCCCGUGCCGUCGGCGUCCAUCACCGGCUGUUAGGUUCUGGCAGUUCAAGGUACUCGUUUUCGAUAAAUCCAUCCUCUUCGCCUCGAACAUUUUAUUGUGUCGGUUUGAAUUUCUUUUCUUUGGACUGGUGUAUCAGUAGGGUUAACUAGAGAGAGAUUUGAGCAAAAUGGGGCUGAGGGAAAAGAAGGGGACCAGAGGUGCGUGCUCUCUUGGCCUGGAUUCCAGCGAGGCGAAAUAUUUCCCUGUGCUUCCUUGAUCAUGCUGAAAACAACAAAGCCACAAAUAUGGCUGGCAUUAACCCCUGAUAUUCUUAGUGAUUGAUGCAGUCAGAGGAGGGGAAAGAGAAAAGAAACCAGGAGAAGCAGCGAGAGGAGCCAGAGAACAGUCACCCCACUUAUGUUGGGCAUAUCCACCGCGGCUUAUAUGAAGAACAGAUGCAAGGUUUCCUUGAGCGGGUUAUCUCUUUUUAGAGGGUCAGGAUUGUGUGGAACCGCAAGGUCUUCUCUAUAUAGCUUUGCAUGAUGUCUGGUGAUAUGCGUACAUUCCCUGUGAACAUCUGACUUGAUGUUUGGUGAUAUAUAUAUUUAUUAGAGUGGAAUUACGAAUCCAUUGAGUCUAACAAACUUGGGGUGGCAAAGAUUGUGGACGAGAUGGCCUGUUGUUUGAUCACACCUUGCAAAUUGUCUUUCCCAACUUAGCUUCUAGCUAGCAGGCCAAAAGUUGCCCCUAGAGCUUCAGCAUAAGGACUUGGCUUUCAAGGGAGAGAAGAGGGCAUCACUUUUUCUCUUCAAAUGAUACUCUUUGUAGUGAGUCUGUUUCAAAACAAGAAGUCAG